UACGGAGGAUCCGAGCGUUAUCCGGAUUUAUUGGGUUUAAAGGGUGCGCAGGCGGGGGAUUAAGUCGGCGGUGAAAUUUUGCAGCUCAACUGUAAAAGUGCCUUCGAAACUGGUUUCCUUGAGUGUGGAUGAAGUAGGCGGAAUUUGUGGUGUAGCGGUGAAAUGCAUAGAUAUCACGAGGAACUCCGAUUGCGCAGGCAGCUUACUAAACUACUACUGACGCUCAGGCACGAAGGCGUGGGGAUCAAACAGGAUUAGAUACCCCGGUAGUCCCU
rnacentral:rRNA from 1 species